ACGUUUUUUGAAAAUAUAAGUUUUUUGGGGGGGGGGGCAGGCAGAGUGGACGUUGAGAGAGAGACAGAGAGAAAGGUCUUCCUUUUCCGUUGGUUCACUCGCCAGUGUCCUCCGCGGCCGGCGCACUGCAGCCAGCGCACCGCGCUGAUCCGAAGCCAGGAGCCAGGUGCUUCUCCUGGUCUCCCAUGGGGUGCAGGGCCCAAGCACUUGGGCCAUCCUCCACUGCACUCCCGGGCCACAGCAGAGAGCUGGCCUGGAAGAGGGGCAACCGGGACAGAAUCCGGCGCCCCCACCGGGACUAGAAAGAACCCAGUAUGCCAAUGCUGCAGGUGGAGGAUUAGCCUAGUGAGCUGCGGCGCCGGCCAAAAAUAUAACUUUCUUAAACAUGUACUUCAUUUAUUUGAAAGGCCAAGUUACAGAGACAGAGAGGGAGAGUUAGGUCUUCCAUCCGCUAGGUCACUCCCCAGAUGGCUGCAGCAGCCCAGGCUGAAGCCAGGAGCUUCAUCCAGGUCUCCCAUGCAGGUGCAGGGGCCCAAGCUUUUGGGCCAUCUUCUACCGCUUUCCCAGGCCACAGCAGAGAGCUGGAUCGGAAGAGGAGUGUUUGUAUUGCCGAAAGAUACCGGCCCGUCACUGUCUCGUCCUCUCCAGUUCUCAGCUCAGCUGGCUUCCUCAGACGAGCGAGCACCGUGGCCUCUUCCCGUCUGCCCGCAGAGAAUAUGAAAACUUCCAACGAGGGACUGUUUCGACGGCUGCACUGUCGCCUGUGACGGGUCAUCAUUCACACCACGGGAAGGAGGGAGCUGGCACCGGGCGCUGGGGGGUUGCAGGCUGAGAACCGGCUGGGGUUAACCAUGCAGGCCCGUCCUGCGUCCUGCGUGUGAAGUCUUCCCGGCCGACAGCACAGGUACCGUGCAUCGCCUGGGAGGGAGCAGGUUCAGGCGAGCUGAGAUGAGGAUUAACCUUCCCCCCCAGCACGGCUUCAUGGCUUCAUUUUUUACAAUAAUCCUGGAUUAAAGGAAGUAAGAAAACAGCAGACGACUCGUCUGUAAUGCCGUUCUUCUGGUUCGGGGCUUGGCCCUCAGCGGGGCCUCCACACGUAGGGCGGGGCUGACGAUGGAACCCCCGUGGUCCCCAUGCAGCCGGGCGGCAGUGAGGCAGGAGACUUGUCCACAUCCUUUCCUUUCUUGGAGAGGUGUGCACGAGUACUUCAGAAAAGUUCAAGGAAAAUAGGAAAUCAAAAGGAAAAUUUAGUUGCACACCUGGGUUCAACCCCAAGUCCAGCCUCCUGCUGAUGUGGGCCGUGGGAGGGCACAGUGGUGGUUCCUGCAAGCCACGUGGGAGACCGGAACUGGGCUCCUGGCUCCCACUCCUGUCUUUGGGGGCAAUUAGGGAAAGAGUCAGCAGAUCUGUGUCUGGGUGUGUGUGUGUGUGUGUGUGUGUGUGUGUGUGUCUCACUCUGAAAAAAAAAAAGAAGAAAAAACUUUAAAAAAGGGUUAAGUUUGGUACAAAAGAAUUUAGGAAGCCAGGCGCAGCUUUUUCCAAUGCACAUUUUCCUUGAACUUUUUGAAGUCCUCUUGUAUAUUAUAAACUAAUAAAAGCUGUACCAUAGAGCA
ensembl:lncRNA